AGCUAAGGAUCUUCGGUUAAGGUCGCGACGUCCUGUCGCAACACCGAAGCCAACACAUCCGUGUG
rnacentral:sRNA from 14 species